rnacentral:rRNA from 1 species
UACAGAGGGGGCAAGCGUUAUUCGGGAUUAUUGGGCGUAAAGGGCGCGUAGGCGGCCUUGUAAGUCAAAGGUGAAAUCCCUCGGCUCAACUGAGGAACUGCCUUUGAAACUGCAAGGCUUGAGGCCGGGAGGGGGUAGCGGAAUUCCCAAUGUAGCGGUGAAAUGCGUAGAUAUUGGGAGGAACACCAGUGGCGAAGGCGGCUACCUGGACCGGUUCUGACGCUGAGGCGCGAAAGCGUGGGUAGCAAACAGG